GCAGGAAAUGAUCCGGAUGAAUUCAGUGCAGUUCUAAAGCAGCACAUAACCCCGAAAAUAUUGAUUACGACAUGCCGCUUCAAUUCAGGGAGGGGACCUGCAUUUAUUGAUGAGUUAAUGCAAGUGAUACCGAAUUCUCAGUAUGU